UCCUUCAGCUGCAAACAAAGGUCUAAAGAAAAAGAUCCUCCGCUCCCUCCCUAAACAGACCUUCUCUGCCGAUUCUGCCACCAAAUUCACCGAUUGCGCAAUUUGUCUGACGGAAUUCGCAACCGGAGACGAAAUCAGAGUGCUGCCUCAAUGCGGUCACGGAUUCCACUUGAACUGUAUUGACAUGUGGCUAGGUUCCCACUCAUCCUGUCCAUCGUGCCGUCAGAUUUUGGUGUUGGCGAGAUGUCAAAAGUGUGGCGGUUUGCCGGCGAGUUCGAGCGGCGGAGCUGAUACGGAGGCUAGAUUGAAGGCGGGAGAAGACCAUGCCAAUAGGUUCUUGCCCUAGCUUUCUUACCUCCUCCUUGUUUGAUAGUUUGGCUAUUAGUCCAAUAUGAUCAACAACAACAAUUAGGAUUAGAAAAGGAAGAUUGAAGCACGAAAUGCGUAGAAUUUCUAUGUAUUUUGAUUUGAUUUAGCUUAUGUAAGUAUGUAUGUAUUACUGGUCGUAUAAUAGUUAAAUACCGUUAAAAAGCAUUACCCAAAAUAGAACAUCAGAAGUGAUGAUGAUGAUGGUUUGUUCAGUUAAUGCUGGUUAUGUAGUUAAUUACCCUUUUUACAUGUGAUAAUGAUAGUGAUUAUUAAUUUCUGAUUAGGGUGUAAUUUGUAUUCUUGAGUUAUCUUCCUAACCUAAUUUUUGUUGCUGGGGGUGCUAGGUGAUGAGGUUGAGUGCCUUUUUUUGUGCUCAUGAAGAGCAAUUUGUGUGCUUUCUUGCAAUGGAG
rnacentral:misc_RNA from 1 species